CGGGUGAGUAAUACAUAGGAAUCUGCCCAGUAGCGGGGGACAACUUGGGGAAACUCAAGCUAAUACCGCAUACGCCCUACGGGGGAAAGCAGGGGAUCUUCGGACCUUGCACUAUUGGAUGAGCCUAUGUCAGAUUAGCUUGUUGGUGGGGUAACGGCCUACCAAGGCGACGAUCUGUAGCUGGUCUGAGAGGACGAUCAGCCACACUGGGACUGAGACACGGCCCAG
rnacentral:rRNA from 1 species